rnacentral:rRNA from 1 species
GUAGUCUGCAACCCGACUACAUGAAGCUGGAGUCGCUAGUAAUCGCGAAUCAGAAUGUCGCGGUGAAUAUGUUCCCGGGUCUUGUACACACCGCCCGUCACACCAUGGGAGUUGGAAAUGCCCGAAGUCAGUGACCCAACCGCAAGGAGGGAGCUGCCGAAGGCAGGUCCGGUAACUGGGGUGAAGUCGUAACAAGGUAGC